AGUCGCGUGGUCUAGUGGCUAUGAUUUCUCGUUCACACCGAGAAGGUCCCAGGUUCGACCCUGGUGCGACUA
rnacentral:tRNA from 1 species